rnacentral:rRNA from 1 species
UCGUAACAAGGUCUCCGUUGGUGAACCAGCGGAGGGAUCAUUGCUGGAACACGCCUCUCGGCGUACCCAGAUACCCUUUGUGAACUUGAACAAAUCGUUGCCUCGGCGCCGAGCCGGGGGGGCCUCUGCGCCCCUCCCCCGGGGGCCCCUUCACGGGGGACCCAGGGAGCCAGCCCGCCGGUGGCCUUCUAAACUCUUGUUUUUAUAGUGUUACCUCUGAGUAUAAGCUUCUAAAUGAAUCAAAACUUUCAACAACGGAUCUCUUGGUUCUGGCAUCGAUGAAGAACGCAGCGAAAUGCGAUAAGUAAUGUGAAUUGCAGAAUUCAGUGAAUCAUCGAAUCUUUGAACGCACAUUGCGCCCGGUGGUAUUCCACCGGGCAUGCCUGUUCGAGCGUCAUUUCAACCCUCAAGCCUUGCUUGGUGUUGGGGCGCUGCCUCCCCCGCGGAGGCAGGCCCCCAAAUUCAAUGGCGAGCUCGCCAGGACUCCGAGCGCAGUAGUUUAACCACCUCGCUUAGGACGGACUGGCGGUUGCCCUGCCGUAAAACCCCCAUAUUUUACCAAAGGUGA